GCCGGAGUGGCGGAAUUGGCAGACGCGCUGUCUUGAGGGGGCAGUGCCCGAAAGGGCGUGCGGGUUCGAAUCCCGCCUCCGGCACCA
rnacentral:tRNA from 1 species